GGUUUUAUGGUGUAACGGUUAGCACUCCAGACUCUGAAUCUGGCGAUCUGGGUUCAAAUCCCAGUAAAACCU
rnacentral:tRNA from 1 species